rnacentral:tRNA from 1 species
AACUUUGUAGUAUUUUGAGGUAUGUUUGUUUUCCAAACAAAAGGAUUUGAAGUUU